AAAUCAGUCCUUUUUAGGACUACCAAACUUUUUUGAAAAGAUUUG
rfam:Megaselia scalaris, Durham, NC isolate 2 -- Noor lab, WGS project CAQQ02000000 data, contig: ctg0000335877